rnacentral:rRNA from 1 species
GAUGAACGCUGGCGGCGUGCCUAAUACAUGCAAGUCGAGCGAACAGAUAAGGAGCUUGCUCCUUUGACGUUAGCGGCGGACGGGUGAGUAACACGUGGGUAACCUACCUAUAAGACUGGGAUAACUUCGGGAAACCGGAGCUAAUACCGGAUAAUAUUUCGAACCGCAUGGUUCGAUAGUGAAAGAUGGUUUUGCUAUCACUUAUAGAUGGACCCGCGCCGUAUUAGCUAGUUGGUAAGGUAACGGCUUACCAAGGCGACGAUACGUAGCCGACCUGAGAGGGUGAUCGGCCACACUGGAACUGAGACACGGUCCAGACUCCUACGGGAGGCAGCAGUAGGGAAUCUUCCGCAAUGGGCGAAAGCCUGACGGAGCAGCGCCGCGUGAGUGAUGAAGGUCUUCGGAUCGUAAAACUCUGUUAUUAGGGAAGAACAUACGUGUAAGUAACUGUGCACGUCUUGACGGUACCUAAUCAGAAAGCCACGGCUAACUACGUG